GACAAUGGGAACUGCGGAAGCUGGAGAGUCUGAGAUAACAAGCUGUGGAGCUGGAUGGACACAGCAGGACAAGCAGCAUCUCAGGGGCACAAAAGCUGGCAGUGGGAGAUGCCAAUUAAACCUCAUUUUGAAUCCUCCAUGAGUGGGAAAGAUGAUUGGUGCGUUUUCAGCUCUCAUACAUUGAUGCGAUGUGGAACAAGGAAAUAGAGAGGGAGCGAUAGGCUGUUGCUUUUCAGGGAACUGGGAGAGAAUCCUUCAUUACAGCAACGUCUUCACCCUCGAUAUCAGGAACUGGAAGGAAAUGACCUGUGCCUGCUCUCGAGUGAUCGAGUCUGUGGGAAUGUUCUAGAAGCCAUCUGUCCUUAUGGAUAUGUGUUUGUGUCU